GAGAGAGAGAGAGAGAGAGAGAGAGAGAGAGAGAGAGAGAGGCGAUGAGGAAACGGGGAAAGAAGCACAAAAGGAGAAAAAAAAAAGAGAUAAAAAAGCUUGCAAUACGGAGAUGAGAAGGAGACAGAGUUCAUAUGGCCGGCCAGCUAUCACCGUCAUCUUCCCAUCACUGUUCGUCCCUUGCCGGACUUAGGCUACCAGAACUGGCACCGGUAACCUAAAGGUGCACGCAAGAUUUAAGAUACGGACAUAGAGAGAGAACUGCCAUUAGGUAUUUAUAAUUGGUUUUGGACAAUCAAGUUUUAGAGGCCAUCCGAGAACGGUAGAGAGAGAGAGUUGGUUAGACACAGGGUGCAGAGAGAUCGACCAAUUGGAGAUAAGUUUUGUCUUUCUGGUUUUUAAUUUUUUUUUUAAAUUGAUUUUUGUCUAUUUGGUAUGGUGUACGAGGAUGACUAUGUGGUAGACUUUUGGGUUUGUUCUGAUUUUGGUUUUGAAGGCCUACAAGACAUUUGCAAUGGUAGGAAGGUGAUAAAAUUUUGGGAGGGACAGGUGAGCUUGCAGGCGGGACAUGGUUGGUUUGUAAUUUGUACCAAGGAUGGGAGUGUGGCUUUUCUCAUAAAUGUUAGGGAAGAUUGGUCUCUAACAGAGGACAAGAGAAGAGGGGACUUCCCAGUUUUGUUCUUGAUGGUGUUUUUAUUUUUAAAUCAACUUUUGUAUUGCCUCACACUCUAUCUACAUAAUUACCAAGUUCAAAAUUGAAGUCAUGGAAGCCUUGGUUGCUAGAAGAACCGUGGUGUUAUUUUAGAUACUAAUGGAUGUGACUUAAGCUAGAAGGUCAAAAACACAUUUGAUUUUGUACGAGAUAAAAGUUGAUGGAUCUCAAGUUGAGAUGUGCACCAAAAGUCAAUCAAAUGACGGAAAUCUGUUCAAAGUUCCUAUUUCAUAUGAACCUGGCAUCUCUAGCCUGCAAAGUUAUAAGCAAGGGGAUGCUACUAGAACAGCUGCAAAUUGGACGCAGAAUUUAUCCAUGUAUCAGUUUCAGGUUAUGGCUAAAUUCCAAAAUCCUGAAGAAUGUCAUGGUCAUUUAGGUCAUUUUUUAAAGGUUCUAAAGGUAUUUCAAUCAUAUUUUAGGUUUAGAGGGUAUUUCAAUCAUUUUUUAGGUUUUGGGGUCAUUUUUUAGAUUUUAAGGAUAUCCCUGUAAUUUUUGAAAGCUUCGGGGUUAUAUUGGUCAUUUUCAAGUGUUAGGAUGGGUUUUGGUAAUUUUAAUAUAUUUAUGGGUAUUUC